UGGGGAAUAUUGGACAAUGGGCGAAAGCCUGACCCAGCCAUGCCGCGUGUGUGAAGAAGGUCUUCGGAUUGUAAAGCACUUUAAGUUGGGAGGAAGGGCAGUACGCGAAUACCUUGCUGCUUUGACGUUACCGACAGAAUAAGCACCGGCUAACUCUGUGCCAGCAGCCGCGGUAAUACAGAGGGUGCAAGCGUUAAUCGGAAUUACUGGGCGUAAAGCGCGCGUAGGUGGUUCGUUAAGUUGAAUGUGAAAGCCCCGGGCUCAACCUGGGAACGGCAGCCAAAACUGGCGAGCUAGAGUAGGGCAGAGGGUGGUGGAAUUUCCUGUGUAGCGGUGAAAUGCGUAGAUAUAGGAAGGAACACCAGUGGCGAAGGCGACCACCUGGGCUCAUACUGACACUGAGGUGCGAAAGCGUGGGGAGCAAACAGG
rnacentral:rRNA from 1 species